GACGAACGCUGGCGGCGUGCUUAACACAUGCAAGUCGUACGGUAAGGCCCUUUCGGGGGUUCACGAGUGGCGAACGGGUGAGUAACACGUGAGUAACCUGCCCACAACUUUGGGAUAACGCUAGGAAACUGGUGCUAAUACUGGAUAUGUGCUCCUGCUGCAUGGUGGGGGUUGGAAAGCUCCGGCGGUUGUGGAUGGACUCGCGGCCUAUCAGCUUGUUGGUGGGGUAGUGGCCUACCAAGGCGGCUACGGGUAGCCGGCCUGAGAGGGUGACCGGCCACAUUGGGACUGAGAUACGGCCCAGACUCCUACGGGAGGCAGAAGUGGGGAAUAUUGCACAAUGGGCGCAAGCCUGAUGCAGCAACGCCGCGGGCGGGAUGACGGCCUUCGGGUUGUAAACCGCUUUCAGCAGGGACGAAGCUUUUUGUGACGGUACCUGCAGAAGAAGCACCGGCUAACUACGUG
rnacentral:rRNA from 1 species